rnacentral:lncRNA from 1 species
UUUUAAUCAAUAUUUUUAUUAAACAAAAAUCCCAAACUCUAAUAUACUACCCAAGGCACCAGAUCCCACCUCUACCUCCACAAGUCCAAUGGCGUUUGUAAGAUCAAAGUCGCCGGUGAUGAAGGUGCUUGUGUCUCCCUCCACGCAUCCAUGUCGCAUUUGCAACAUUAGAUGCACCGCCUAUUGCUGUAACAGGCACUGGAACCACUACAUUUGUCUCUCCAGCCCCAAUACCACGUGAACCACCUCGCGUACAUUUCUCCCUUAUUUCUUAGAUCUGGCUUUAAAACAGUGGGGGCGUCGCUGCCACGACUCACAAUGACACUGCACGAUUGCACGACUUGCAGCAACGUCAAUUGUAGACUGUAAUCUGUAGUGGAUUUAAUCUGCGAUAACGACAACAACUAGUUGGGGAAAUUUUUUUAUGGGUGAUGCACAAGAUUGUGUGGUGGUGUAUUUGGUGGUUUCUGGCGACGGGUAUUGUUGGUGUAUUUUUUUCGUGGAUGAUUUGGUACAUUUGGUAGUGGCGGUCGUGGUGGUUUUUGGCAGCGAUGAAGGUGCUCUUGUUGGCAGUGAUGAUGUGGGUAGAGUUGGUGAGGGUGUGGGUUGGAUAUUGUUGGUGUGUUUAUGGCGACGAUCAUAGUGGUUUUUGGCGAUGAUGGAGGUGGUGGUUGGUGGUGAAGAUCUAAUAGUGUUGGUGGUGCUUGUAGUUUUUGUUG